GACGAACGCUGGCGGCGUGCUUAACACAUGCAAGUCGAACGGAAAGGCCCUGCUUUUGUGGGGUGCUCGAGUGGCGAACGGGUGAGUAACACGUGAGUAACCUGCCCUUGACUUUGGGAUAACUUCAGGAAACUGGGGCUAAUACCGGAUAGGAGCUCCUGCUGCAUGGUGGGGGUUGGAAAGUUUCGGCGGUUGGGGAUGGACUCGCGGCUUAUCAGCUUGUUGGUGAGGUAGUGGCUUACCAAGGCUUUGACGGGUAGCCGGCCUGAGAGGGUGACCGGCCACAUUGGGACUGAGAUACGGCCCAGACUCCUACGGGAGGCAGCAGUGGGGAAUAGUGCACAAUGGGCGGAAGCCUGAUGCAGCAACGCCGCGUGCGGGAUGGCGGCCUUCGGGUUGUAAACCGCUUUCGCCUGUGACGAAGCGUGAGUGACGGUAAUGGGUAAAGAAGCACCGGCUAACUACG
rnacentral:rRNA from 1 species